rnacentral:tRNA from 1 species
GCUGAUGUGGCUCAGUCGGUAGAGCAAUUCACUCGUAAUGAAUAGGUCGGCGGUUCGAUUCCGCCCAUCAGCUCCA